GGCCGUCUGGCGAAAUGGCAUCGCGUCUGACUACGAUCAAGUAAUUGCAAUCAGGAGAUUGCAGGUUCGACCCCUGCGUCGGUCA
rfam:Sistotremastrum niveocremeum HHB9708 unplaced genomic scaffold SISNIscaffold_63, whole genome shotgun sequence.